rnacentral:rRNA from 1 species
UACGUAGGGGGCAAGCGUUAUCCGGAUUUACUGGGUGUAAAGGGAGCGUAGACGGUGAGGCAAGUCUGAAGUGAAAGGCGGGGGCUCAACCCCCGGACUGCUUUGGAAACUGUUUGACUGGAGUACAGGAGGGGCAGGCGGAAUUCCUGGUGUAGCGGUGAAAUGCGUAGAUAUCAGGAGGAACACCGGCGGCGAAGGCGGCCUGCUGGACUGAAACUGACGUUGAGGCUCGAAAGCGUGGGGAGCAAAAAGG